rnacentral:rRNA from 1 species
CCAGGUCUUGACAUCCUUUGAAGCUUUUAGAGAUAGAAGUGUUCUCUUCGGAGACAAAGUGACAGGUGGUGCAUGGUCGUCGUCAGCUCGUGUCGUGAGAUGUUGGGUUAAGUCCCGCAACGAGCGCAACCCUUAUUGUUAGUUGCCAGCAUUCAGAUGGGCACUCUAGCGAGACUGCCGGUGACAAACCGGAGGAAGGCGGGGACGACGUCAGAUCAUCAUGCCCCUUAUGACCUGGGCUACACACGUGCUACAAUGGCGUAUACAACGAGUUGGCAACCCGCGAGGGUGAGCUAAUCUCUUAAAGUACGUCUCGACCGGGGAUUGUAGUCUGCAACUCGACUACAUGAAGUCGGA